AGCGAACGCUGGCGGCAGGCCUAACACAUGCAAGUCGAACGAAGCCUUCGGGCUUAGUGGCGGACGGGUGAGUAACACGUGGGAACGUACCUUUUGGUUCGGAACAACGCAGAGAAAUUUGCGCUAAUACCGAAUGAGCCCUUAGGGGGGAAAGAUUUAUCGCCGAAAGAUCGGCCCGCGUUGGAUUAGGUAGUUGGUGUGGUAAAGGCGCACCAAGCCUACGAUCCAUAGCUGGUCUGAGAGGAUGAUCAGCCACACUGGGACUGAGACACGGCCCAGACUCCUACGGGAGGCAGCAGUGGGGAAUCUUGCGCAAUGGGCGAAAGCCUGACGCAGCCAUGCCGCGUGAAUGAUGAAGGUCUUAGGACUGUAAAAUUCUUUUACCAGGGACGAUAAUGACGGUACCUGGAGAAAAAGCCCCGGCUAACUUCGUGCCAGCAGCCGCCGUAAAAC
rnacentral:rRNA from 1 species